GACGAACGCUGGCGGCGUGCUUAACACAUGCAAGUCGAACGGAAAGGCCCUGCUUUUGUGGGGUGCUCGAGUGGCGAACGGGUGAGUAACACGUGAGUAACCUGCCCUUGACUUUGGGAUAACUUCAGGAAACUGGGGCUAAUACCGGAUAGGAGCUCCUGCUGCAUGGGGGGGGUUGGAAAGUUUCGGCGGUUGGGGAUGGACUCGAGGCUUAUCAGCUGGUUGGUGGGGUAGUGGCUUACCAGGCCUUUGACGGCUAGCCGGCAUGAGAGGGUGAACGGCCACCUGGGGACUGAGAUACGGCCCAGACUGCUACGGGAGGCAGCGGUGGGGAAUAUUACGCAAUGGGCGGAAGCCUGAUGCGGCAGCGCCGCGUGCGGGAUGACGGCCUUCGGGUUGUAAACCGCUUUCGCCUGUGACGAAGCGUGAGUGACGGUAAUGGGUAAAGAAGCACCGGCUAACUACGUG
rnacentral:rRNA from 1 species